GACGAACGCUGGCGGCGUGCUUAACACAUGCAAGUCGAACGGAAAGGCCCUGCUUUUGUGGGGUGCUCGAGUGGCGAACGGGUGAGUAACACGUGAGUAACCUGCCCUUGACUUUGGGAUAACUUCAGGAAACUGGGGCUAAUACCGGAUAGGAGCUCCUGCUGCAUGGUGGGGGUUGGAAAGUUUCGGCGGUUGGGGAUGGACUCGCGGCUUAUCAGCUUGUUGGUGGGGUAGUGGCUUACCAAGGCUUUGACGGGUCGCCGGCCUGAGAGGGUGACCGACCACAUUGGGACUGAGAAACGGCCCAGACUCCUACGGGAGGCAGCAGUGGGGAAUAUUGCACAAUGGGCGGAAGCCUGAUGCAGCCACGCCGCGUGCGGGAUGACGGCCUUCGGGUUGUAAACCGAUUUCGCCUGUGACGAAGCGUGAGUGACGGUAAUGGGUAAAGAAGCACCGGCUAACUACGUG
rnacentral:rRNA from 1 species